GGGCUCAUAGCUCAGUUGGUUUAGAGCAACCGGCUCUUAACCGGUAGGUCGGGGGUUCGAAUCCCCCUGGGCCCA
rnacentral:tRNA from 1 species